UACGAAGGGGGCUAGCGUUGCUCGGAAUGACUGGGCGUAAAGGGCGCGUAGGCGGAAGGCCUAGUCAGGCGUGAAAGUCCUGGGCUUAACCUGGGAACUGCGUUUGAUACGGGUUAUCUUGAGUGGGGAAGAGGGUCGUGGAAUUCCCAGUGUAGAGGUGAAAUUCGUAGAUAUUGGGAAGAACACCGGUGGCGAAGGCGGCGUGCUGGUCCUUGACUGACGCUGAGGCGCGAAAGCGUGGGGAGCAAACGGG
rnacentral:rRNA from 1 species